AAAGGGAGACCUAAUUCAGGUAGGAGACGAAAAAAAAGUAGUCGCUACCAAGAAUCAAUCCCAAAAGGUCGGAGCGAGGCGAAAUUGGCUUCAAACUAGGUUCUGGGUUCAAACAAGACCUGAAUCAGGAACAAGGGCUAUUAGCUCAGGUGGUUAGAGCGCACCCCUGAUAAGGGUGAGGUCCCUGGUUCGAGUCCAGGAUGGCCCACCUGUACAGGUGGCAAAAAGAAAGAAAAGAAGCGAGGAAUCAGCACCUUAUCUUACUGACAUAGUAAGAGAGAAUGCUGGCUCUGAGUAAAGAGUCCAGAGGAACCUUGAAAACUGCAUAGAGCUAGGUGAAAAAGCCAAAAAAGAAGACCGCAAG
rnacentral:tRNA from 1 species